UAACCCUGUUUUAGACGGUGGGUCGAAGAACUCAUAUCUUAUGUUGAGCACGUGUUUUCACGCGCCGUCCAUUUUUUCGUUAAGCAGUUGCACGACGAGGUUGAAGCGUAACCUUUAUCGCUCUUCAAUGGCGUCAUCUUCUGUUCGAAUUGUCAUCGUCGGCGAUGUGCAUGAUUGCUGGAACUUUGAACAAGAUUCCAAAGCACUUCAAUUCCUCCAGCCAGAUUUGGUGCUCUUUACAGGUGAUUUUGGUGAAGAAAAUCUUGAAGUCGUUCGAAGUGUUGCAAAUGUUGAAUUUGCUAAAGCAGUUAUAUUAGGAAACCAUGACUCCUGGUUUACUAAGAAGUUUUCUGAAAGUGAGAAGGAUAAAGUUCAGCUUCAGCUUGAAUGCCUUGGCAAGGAGCAUGUGGCUUAUCAACGUUUAGAUUUACCUCUAAUAAAAGUAAGUGUUGUUGGUGGACGGCCAUUUUCUUGUGGGGGUACCUCAUUAUUUCGAAAAAAGCUGCUGUCUGCAAGAUAUGGAGUUAAAGACAUGGAUGAGAGUGCCAAGAGAAUCCAGAAAGCUGCUCUUGGUACACCAGAGAAUCAUUUUCUAAUACUACUUGCACAUAAUGGACCCACAGGCCUUGGUUCUGGUUUGAAUGAUAUAUGUGGUAAAGAUUGGGAAUUUAAGGGCGAUGGUGGUGAUCAUGGUGACCCAGAUCUAGCAUGUGCAAUAUCCUUGCUAAAAGAGAACAAUGAGGUAUCUAUCCCAUUAGUUGUGUUUGGUCACAUGCACAAAGAGCUUGCACAUGGCAAUGGUUUUAGGAAAAUGAUUGUUGUUGGGGCUGACAACACCAUAUAUUUGAAUGGGGCCAUUGUCCCACGGGUCAAAAGUUUGGAUGACGGCAACAAGAGAAGCUUAGACAAUGAAAGUCCUCUUUCCUCACUAGAGAUAAAAGGCACAGCAAGAGCCUUUACUUUAGUUGAGCUUUCAGAAGGAAGAGUUACCAAGGUUGCAGAAAGUUGGGUAGCAGUUGUCGAAGAUAGGACCACAUUAAUAGAAGAGUAUGUAUUAUUUGAGCGCAAUUAAGAGUCAAGAUCCUCAUCUUCUAUGUUUAGAUUCCUGCUUCAGUCACAUGGUUUUUAAUGCAUAGACAAAUACAGCCCAAGAUAAGAUACCUAUCUGUUUUUGCUUGUCCUUACACAUUUGGAUACAUGGUGAAUAAGGUUGGUAUGUAUUUUGGAUUAUCCAGGUGUUCCAUCUGUCGUCAUGGUGCGUAUUCUUAUGUGAUGUCAUUUUACUAUCUAACAUUUACUUGCAUUCGCAAGUUGCGAGCACUAUGCGUGGAUUUUUUUGCUUUUGAUAGGGCAGGUCCAGAUCAUUUUCGCAUUUGCUUUUGUAUGGACCCAAUGACAAUUGCAGAUGGUUGUGAGCUUUGUGAUCCUAUCUGGUCCAUGAAAUGUCUCCCAUAACUUUGAGAUAUUCCAAAGUAAAGGCUAAAGAUAACCAUGACAUUGAAGGCUGACAAGGCUAAAGAUGAUCAUGACAUUGAAGGCUAACCAAAUUUGUGAUGAUUUUGGUUUGGUGAACUUAUCUUUUUUUCCUUCUUCCUUGGUUAAUAAAUUAUUGGAAUGAUCCACUCAAGUAAAAGAAAUGAGCCAUUUCCUAUUUGGUAGAUAUGCAAUUAGCAUAUGGCAUGUUACAUAAAUACUAUCACUCAAGCACCAUUCCUUCACACCUUUUUAAAGCCUGCCAUUCUAUAAAAGUGUGGAGUAACAUUAGUACUGUCUUUUCUCUCUUGUCUUCUGAAUGUUUGGUGCACCAAAUUCCAAGUGGUCUAUGACCAUACUUUUGACUCAGUCUGUUACUUUAUAGCCAUUUCAUAACACACAAAAUGCAAAGGAAAAGUAUUCCUUACCUCUUUUCUUGGUAACAAAUGCCAUUCACAUUGAUUCUGACCAUGCUAAAAGUUGUUUGUAAUAUUUUUAGUAGUAAAAUUUGGAGCACCAUUUUAGAUUA